UUUUUCUUUUUCUUUUCUUUUUUUUUUUUGUCUUUUUGCCUUUUCUAGGGCUGCUUCCCUCGGCAUAUGGACGUUCCCAGGCUAGGGGUCUAAUCGGAGCUGUAGCCACUGGCCUACGCCAGAGCCACAGCAACGCGGAAUCCGAGCUGUUGUGACCUACACCACCGCUCAUGGCAAUGCUGGAUCCUUAACCCACUGAGUGAGGCCAGGGAUCAAACCCGCAACCUCAUGGUUCCUGGUCAGAUUCGUUUCUGCUGCACCACGACAGGAACUCCGAUUAUUUUCUUCUUUCAAAAAAUUGAAAAUAUUUUUUUGUUAAGCUCUAAUGUCAUAAAUUCAUAAACGUUGUUCUUAGAUGAGAAACAUUGACAUAAAUAAUGAUUUAUUUACUAAUCUAAGUGUCAUGCAUUAGGAAAACUGACUCAAGCUUGAGAUUGGAGAGAAAGGAGAGGACGGGCUUUGCUUUUGGACAUUCAGGACAUUAGAGCAGCACUAGGUGACCUUUGGAGGUCAAUAGGAAAAGGGGAAAUUGACAAUGGAUUCCUGGCUGAUGCUGGACCGUGACUGCUGCUUUGUUCAGGGCAGGCAUGUGGCCAAUCAGCCCCUUGCUUAUGCCAGCAGGUGUGAACAUCACCAGAGUCCAGGCGUGUCCUCUUGACUAGGUGCUGAAGUCACUUGAGACCAUAGUGUCAGCCUGCUUGUCCUUUGUGACACUUUCUCUUCUGUAAGGCACAGAGCACAGAGAAGGGAGGAAAAGGAGGGGGCCUGCAAACUUUGAGCUUUGCCCUUCUAAGGCAUUUACCAGUGAAGACAUGAAUGAGCGGAGCUGUCAUGACCUAGAUUCCUGAUAAACACAGGCAGGAAAUGGGAAAUUCGUCAGAAUGUCAAUCCCCACUUUAAUUUCACCAAAGCUGCGUGGGAGGGGCUGGAGGAAUUACUUCUCUGACCCGCACGGCUGCGUUAAAGGCUGCUAUCACUUAUAAUGAGUUUUAUUGACGUCUCUGGCUUGCUGUCAUUGAGGCAUUGGUGAAGGUCAACUCUCCAGCACUGUGAGCAGACAGGCUGCAGAGCUGGGAGCGAUGGCCCCUCUCGGGCUGACACUCCAGAAGCUGCCACCUGUCCAAACUGCCUGUGAUGGAGAGAGGUGCCAGGAGGAGAUGGAGUAAGCGGUGGUGAAUCUGGGGCAGCGUCCCCCUCAGGGGCUCCUUGUCACACACCACAACACUCUCUUAACACAUCUGAUGCUCUGGGCUCUGCUCCUCACCACCUAAGAUCUUUUAUUCCCGCUGGAUUUAGUUCAGUGAACAUCAUGUCCAGGAGCAGCUUAUUUCUAUCCUCUGUUCCACUAAUUCACCUAUCAUAUGGAGGAAGUUCUGGGAUAAGUGAGUUUGGGGCUUAUGGGAAGCAGGAGGAACUGAUUUUAUAGCCUCUGUUCCCGUACUCAACCCUCUGGCCCUGAGACCAGCAACAAGGGAUCCUGGGUCAGGGGAUGCUCAGAGAAGUUCUAGGCAUGAUGGCACCUUGGUUUGAGGACUGCCAUCUUCCAAGGGUCAAAUGAUGGGCUGCCAUUCCUUUAUUGUUUUGGGGUGAUGUGCCUCAUUUGGCCAUCUUGCCUGGCAUUUGCUUUAAUGGUGUUGGCUCUCCACCAUCUGACCAGGUCGUCUCGAGGGCAAAAUAUUUUGCCUAAAAGAUGCAGGAUGUAACUUGGCAUGUGUGUGUGUUAAAUAUGGCCUGAUCGCUGCUCAUCUGCAUAAAUACUAUGAGUUUGAGUUUCUACUUUAGAAGGGAAAGGCAGUCAUUCAUUCGCUUAUUUGUGAUAAGAGAGGAUAUUGCCUUUUUUAAAGCGGUUAUAAUGUUCUGGUCUCCACCUAUCCUAGCAUUAUCAACCAACAGUUCUCCAAACCAUUUUCAUCUCUCUGUCCCCACCAAUCCUAUACUCUGAAUUCAAUGUUUCUCAAUAAGAGGAAAUUCCUUCCGAUGUCAAAGGCUCUUGCGCCUUUUCACACACUGUUUCCUCCUCCUAGAAAGUCUUCCCUUUGCUUCUCCACCUGGUCAAGUCCUUUCCAAAACUCAAUUCAGACGUCAUUUCCUCCACGAGGCUUCUUAAGUCUCCUAGGUGCUUCCCGCGUUUAAAUUUAUUGGGGCACAGGCAAUGUUAGAUUGUAACGGCAUUUGAUACAUAAGUCUUUUUUUGUGUGUGUGGUCUUUUUAGGGUCGCACUCGUGGCAUAUGGACGUUGCCAGGCUAGGGGUCGAAUUGGAGCUAUAGCCGCCAGCCUACACCACAGCCACAGCAACGCCAGAUCCAAGCCUUGUCUGUGACCUACGCCACAGCUCACAGCAACGCCAGAUCCAAGCCUUGUCUGUGACCUACGCCACAGCUCACAGCAACGCCAGAUCCUUAACCCACUGAGUGGGGCCAGGGAUCGAACCUGUGUCCUCACGGAUGCUAGUCAGAAUCGUUUCCUCCAAGCCAAGCCACGAUGGGAGCUCAAGAUACCUAAGUCUUACAUCUGCUCAACACCAGGGAUGGCAGGACAUAUUUAUCUUUGGAUUCCUAGCACCUGGCACAAGCCUGGUAUAAAGAAGAUACUCAAACAGUAUGAGUAUGAAUAAUGAAGUAAAUCUGAAUAAAAGGACUUUUUGGUUAAGACCAGAGUUUUCAAACUGAUGCUAGAACAUCAGCUUCUAGUGUCAUCUGCAUCUUAUUUCAGGUACAUGAAUCAUACAGGAAAAAUAAAAGCUGGACUCUGGACAUGGUGAGAAGGAAGCUUUUCUUAUAUUAAAUACGUUCCUAUUCAUAUCACUGAGAUCUGGUCAGAUGUUCCAUCUGGUGAUUACAUGGUAACUGUUUAACUAUAAGCCCCAAAUUCGGUGGGAUAAGUGCCAGGAAUGUCCACAUUCAAAAUUAAAGCAACAAAUCAGCUUUAUUUGAUAAGUUACUGAGUCUGAAUUUAGAAGCUUUAAUCCUUAAAAGUCAAAUUCUUCCAGUUGAAUAUCCAUUCAUCUAUGAUAAUUCUUUUCAAGUGUCAGAAAUGUUCUAAUCUCUCCUUUUUUUUUCUUUAAAUGCUUGCACCCUGGCAUAUGGAAGUUCCCCAACCAGGGGCUGAAUCUGAGCCACAGCUGCAACCUGUGCCACAACUGCUGCAAUAUUAGAUCCUUAAACCCACCGCCCCCCGGCUGCGGAUUGAACCUGCACCUCUGUAGCAACUCUUGCCAUUGCAGUCAGGUUCUUAACCCACCGUACCAUAGCGGGAACUCCAAGGGUGAACACUUUUUGCCUCAGAGAAACUCUCCUGUCACACCAACUUCUGCUAAAGAUGUCAGAGUCUAAGCUCCAGGAGGCCAGGGCCCUGUCUGCCUGGCGGUCACUUACUUCCUAUCUCAGGCACGCCGAUGUUGAGUGAAUGACUUUACAAACAAAUGCCUCUGCCUUCACAGAAAGGCUCGGUUCCUUUCCUUUCCUGUUGCCAGGAUCUUAGGCAACGCUGGACAUGUCUGAUGUCGAAUGAGUGAGAAGUACUAUGUUACCAACAUUUUGCUGUUCACAAAGUAUCUCCCUUAAGGAUGCUCAUGUCCCAAUUUGCCCUGUUCAAUAAUUAAGCUAAUGGGGAGUCCAGUGGCCCAAAAUGUCAGAGCCUACUCUCUAGCUGGAAAAGUGGAAGAGCCAGGAACACGCCUUGGUUACUGCCCACUGCCGUGUGCUGAUGGACCUCCUAUGGACACAUUUUGGCUGACUUUCCUUAUAAGCUGCAGGUCUCCACUUUCCUAUCCAGAAAUCCCAGAAGUAGGGAGGAGCAGCCUCUGGAGUACUGGAGAAGGGCCGGGUGUGGGUGAGUUGAGGAAAUAAAUUAUUAGAACUGUGGGUUUCCUUUCCGCCUUUUGAUGUUUUGCCUGAAGAACCAGGUGUAUGAACACCAUUAAUGCUACAAGAUAAUUUUUAUAUGCGUAUAAGUGAAAGAAUCCCGCUGCCAGAGAUACUACUGCCUCUCUCAGCUCUCAAGGUAGCCUGGAAGAGCCAGGAGUGGCUGGAACAUCUGGGUCAGUGAAUCCCAGAAAGUAGCCUCAAUUUGAAGUCUUAUCUAUAUGUUUAUAGCAAUGUGUCCCAUUUAUCCAUCCAUCCAUCCAUCCAUCCAUCCAUCCAUCAUCUCAUCCCUCCGUCCACCUGUCCCAUUUUCUGUGUCAUUACAUUGUGGUUUUUUUUUGUCUUUUUGCUAUUUCUCAGGCUGCUCCUGUGGCAUAUGGAGGUUCCCAGAAAAGGCAAAAAGACAACAAACAAACAAACAAACAAAACAAAAAAACCGAUGGUAUCAGAAGCAGCAGUUAAUAACAGUAGUAAUAGUGGUACGGCUACUGAUGCUGUGGAAGACAUCUGCGUGUCAGGAACAAGGCCACAUGCUUCCUAUAGAUCCAUAUCGCUUGCUACCGAAUCCAGGUCUCUUUAGUUUCUGAGUUUUGGAUGAUGGGGGAAGUACCCUAUGACAAAACUUGAUCUGAAUUGAUACCAUCCUGAACACUCUCUCUCCAAAUUCUUAUUCUCGUUAAUUCUCACAAUUCUGUGAAACAGGUUUUAUUGUUCCUAUUUUAUAGUCAAUGAAACCAAACUCAACUAAAUAAAGGGAAUAUUCCUUUCUGAUAGGGAAAUGGUGGCUGGUAUUUAUCUGGGAAAUCCUAAGACUAAUGCACUUAGACAGAAUGAUGUUAUCUCUCAUCUUAUUCAGGACUCAGGGGAAGAUAAAAGACGUGGAAAGGUUUGUGCCUUUGAAACGUUUGUUAAGGGUUCCCAUCAUGGCUCAGCAAAAACGAAUCUGACUGGUAUCCAUGGGAACAUAGGUUCCAUCCCUGGCCUCCCUCAGUGGGUCGAAAGGAUCUGGUGUUGCUGUGAGCUGUGGUGUAGAUCGCAAACACGGCUUGGAUCCCGAGUUGCUGGGACUGUGGUGUAGGAUGGCAGCUACAGUUCUGAUUCAACCCCUAGCCUGGGAGCCUCCACAUGCCGCGGGUGUAGCCCUGAAAAAGAAAAGGCAGAAAAAAACAAAAAAAAAAAAACAAAAAAAACCUUUUGUUAAGAUCAUCUGAGAGAAAGAAGGCAGCAGGAUG
rnacentral:lncRNA from 9 species